rnacentral:rRNA from 1 species
CCUACGGGAGGCAGCAGUAGGGAAUCUUCCACAAUGGGCGAAAGCCUGAUGGAGCAACGCCGCGUGGGUGAAGAAGGUCUUCGGAUCGUAAAACCCUGUUGUUCGAGAAGAAAGUGCGUGAGAGUAACUGUUCUCGUUUCGACGGUAUCUAACCCGAAAGCCAAGGCUAACUACGUGCCUGCAGCCGCGGUAAUACGUAGGUGGCAAGCGUUAUUCGGAUUUCUUGGGCGUAAAGGGAACGCAGGCGGUCUUUUAAGUCUGAUGUGAAAGCCUUCGGCUUAACCGGAGUAGUGCAUUGGAAACUGGGAGACUUAAGGUCAGAAGAGGAGAGUGGAACGCCAUGGGUAGCGGUGAAAUGCGUAGAUAGAUGGAAGAACACCAGUGGCGAAAGCGGCUCUCUGGUCUGUAACUGACGCUGAGGUUCGAAAGCGUGGGUAGCAAACAGGAUUAGAGACCCCGGUAGUC